rnacentral:rRNA from 1 species
GACAGAGGGUGCAAACGUUGCUCGGAAUCACUGGGCGUAAAGGGCGUGUAGGCGGGAAGGUAAGUCGGGCGUGAAAUCCCUGAGCUCAACUCAGGAACUGCACUCGAAACUACUUUUCUUGAGUGCCGGAGAGGAAAGCGGAAUUCCUGGUGUAGAGGUGAAAUUCGUAGAUAUCAGGAGGAACACCAGUGGCGAAGGCGGCUUUCUGGACGGUAACUGACGCUGAGACGCGAAAGCGUGGGGAGCAAACAGG